CCAAUGCCUGGGCCUUUGCCCGGGAGACGGGGAUAACCAUUGAAAACUAUGGCUAAUACCGCCUAACCUCACAAAACCAAAGCCCGGGACCUUCUGGCCUUGCGCUACCGCAUAUGCCCAGGUGGGAUUAGCUAGUUGGAGAGGUAAGGCCUCGCCACGGCCACUAUCCCUACUUGGUCUGAGAGGAUGAUCACCCACACUGGAACUGAGACACGGUCCCUACUCCUACGGGAGGCGGGGAAUAUUAAUAUUGCACAAUGGGCCUGACCUGAUGCGCCCAUGCCGCGUGUAUGAACAAGGCCUUCGGGUUGUAAAGUACUUUCAGAAGGGAGGAAGGUGGUUAAGUUAAUACCUUUUUCAUUUGACGUUACCUACAGAAGAAGCACCGGCUAACUCCGUGCCAGCAGCCGCGGUAAUACGGAGGGUGCAAGCGUUAAUCGGAAUUACUGGGCGUAAAGCGCAUGCGUUUGGUUUGUUAAAUCAGAUGUGAAAGCCCUGGGCCUCAACCUAUGAAUCCCAUUUGAAACUGACAAGCUACAGUACUGGAGAGGGGGGUAGAAUUUCAGGUGUAGCGGUGAAAUGCGUAGAGAUCUAAAGGAAUACCGGAGGGCGAAGGCGGCCCCCUGAUACUGACCCUGAAAUUUCAAAAUGCAA
rnacentral:rRNA from 1 species